AUGCACGCUAGCGAUAGGCUUAACACAUGCCAGUCGAGGGGCAGCAUGGUCUUAGCUUGCUCAGACUGAUGGCGACCGGCGCACGGGUGCGUAACGCGUAUGCAACUUGCCUCACAGAGGGGGAUAACCCGUCGAAAGACGGACUAAUACCGCGUACACUCCAUCUUGGGCAUCCAAGGUAGAGGAAAUGAAAUUCGCUGUGAGAUAGGCAUGCGUCCCAUUAGCUAGUUGGUGAGGUAACGGCUCACCAAGGCGACGAUGGGUAGGGGAACUGAGAGGUUGAACCCCCACACUGGUACUGAGACACGGACCAGACUCCUACGGGAGGCAGCAGUGAGGAAGAUUGGGCAAUGGGCGAGAGCCUGAACCAGCCAAGUCGCGUGAAGGAUGACUGUCUUAUGGAUUGUAAACUUCUUUUAGACGGGAAUAACAAGAGUCACGGGUGACUCCCUGCAUGUACCGGAUGAAUAAGCAUCGGCUAACUCCGUG
rnacentral:rRNA from 1 species